CACAAGGCUCUCGGCUCAUUCUGGAGCCAGAUCCUCUCAGCCCAACUCUGCUCUAUCAGUCUUCUGGCCCGGAGGGUGACACCCACAGCCUGUUUAUCAGAGCCAAGCAGCGAUGACACAUCCAGGCCUUUGCCAGGCAGCAUCCUGAUGUAGGUAUCAAAGUCCAGCCCUCCAGCGCUGUGUUGCAUAGACCCAGCUGAGACCAGAGCUCCAGAAGACACCAGCAGGGUUUCCCUGGCCACGGAGAGUUUGGCUCAGGACCUGCCUGCCUCUCUGCUCAGUAGGCAACGGGCUCUGAGCAGGCAUCCCGGCCCGAGGGAUGGGCUGGUUGUUCCUUGACACCUAUUUCAGCUAAGGAGGCUGGGUCGACAGGUGUAACCGGGUUUUCCCCCAGUGCCCACCCUUUCCUAGCAGACAAUCAGAGGGAGAGAAGACCACAUUUUGGAUUUCUCUAGGGGAAGGAAAUUAAAAGCCAACAGGUCUCUCUCCCUGGGAGAGUGGAGGCACCCGCCAGGGUUCCCAGGAAACUGCCAGCUCAGCCUACCUGACAAAUAACCUCUCCUGACAAGUGGCCAAUUGACUCAAAACAGCAGCGCCGCUGACGAAAAACAAACCAAUAGCAGUUUGAGACGAGGGGUGUUCCAGGUACACAUGCAAGACGCAGCUUCUCCUCCGCACACAAAGUGGUAGGGAAAUACUCAGAACAAAUUUACCUUGGAGCAGCAAGACUGUGCUUGCUUCAGCCCUGUCUUCACCUGGAUUACUCAUGGUGAUCUCAGGAGGCCCUGCCUGCAGAGUCAUGGUGAGUGAGCUGAGGAACGGGAAGCUUGAGCUCCAACUGGUUGGCUGACACAGCCUUUGAGUUAUCAUUUCAUCUUCCACGGCUCAUUGAAAGUGAGGACCUGCUUCCUCCCCAGCCCUGAGAAUGGGGACAUCUAGACAUCCUAAAACAUAGACAUCGUAUGUCUAACUGGUAUCUCUCAACUUUAAAUAUUUUAAAGGAAUUAGCACAUUUCCCCCAGGUUAAGGAUAUUUUUCUCAUUAAUGAAAGGAAUUUGCAAAAGUAGUUGUUGAAUGUUUAGAAGUAAAGCAGAACAUAAGGAUGAUCACACAGGCAGUGUUCUUGGAAGUACAUGUACAUGGAAGGAAGGCAACAUGAACUUAAAGAAUAAUGCUUAUGUCUGAUUUAUUGUGUGCAAAUCUUAGCUGGAAUGCCAAAAAGAUUCAAUGGAAAAAGCUCAGCAAUUCAUUGUUUUAUUGUUGAGAAAAUGAAGGGACUUUACUAGUCACCUCCAGAUUAGUAAGUACAACACACAAAACAUGUUCCUCAGCUAACAGAAAUGCUUUUAGGAUUAAAAAUAGUCCUGAUGGGUGUUUUGUGUUCUUUCCCACUCACUGGUUCAGAAUCAGAUUCAACUAAUGUUCACGAGUGCCUGCCCUGUGCUGGACACUUUGCUGACUGUUCCUAUUACUUCAUUUGAUUCCUGCUUCUCCUUCAGAAGAGUCUAACUGGUCUCAUUUUACAGACACCUGGAGAAAUGAAGAGCCUUACCUACGACCUCCUAAGUGUUGAGUGAGGAGCUGGGUUUCUGGCAUGGUCGUCUGGGUUUCUUUUCUGAUAUCACGGCCUGUGUUGCUUCUACCGACCCUUGUCUCCAUGUUAUCAGAGUCAGUGAAACCCACCAACACUUAGAUGUUAAGUAGCAAUGAGGGUAAGAAAAAAAAUACUCUUCUUUGCUAACUUCAAUUUUAUAAACAAAAAGCAGGCAGUUGCAUACAGAUAAUAGAGAACAGAGCAACCCAUAAUUUGAGUAGUCAUGAAUCAUGAUCUUGUUUAAACCCAUGUCUUUAUGUGUGUGUGUGUGUGUGUGUGUAUGUGUGUGUGUGU